rnacentral:lncRNA from 1 species
AUGUGGCUCCUUCCAACAGGGUUCUGUGGAGGUUGGACAAGACUCAACCCAGACCAACUACCUCAAGAAGACGAGGAGAACUUCAUUCUAAAUUUGGUGCCGUGUGGUUCACCAUCCAGGGAACCAGCACACCAGGCUCCACCCAUCCAGGAACCAGCACACCAGGCUCCACCCAUCCAAGAACCAGCACACCAGGUCUCAGCUGUGCAGCCACCACUGCGGGGUCCACAGCAAUGUAAAAGACUACAAAAAAUCAAAGAUUGCCCUCACAGUCGGCUUGAAAUGUUCCCAGUCUGUGAAAUAAUAAAGACAAGGAAAAGAAAGGGGAGGACAGAACAUCUUUAUGACUGGCAGCCCUGCACAAUGUGGUAUGUUAAAUAGCUUUUGGUUAUGUAUGAUUACAUGCAUUUUAUUAUUGGGCUCUUGGAUCUAUCUGUGCCUGGAUCUCUCUGUACUGGCUGAAAGCAUUCACACACCAAUGUGUCCCUGAGCAAGAUACUUAACCCCUAGUUGCUCCAGAGGCGUGCGACCUUUGACAUAAACAGCAUUUGUAAGUCGCUUUGGAUAAAAGCAUCAGCUAAAUGAAUAAAUGUAAUGUAAUGUACUGUUUUAAUUUGUGGGGAUUGUUGACAAGCCAUUGUCUUGGGUAGAGAUUAUUAAAGAAAAAUUGUAGAUUGUAGUGCAAACAGUUUUUGUAUGCUGUUUACAAUUGUGAGGAAACUGAUAUGUUGUACUGUGCAUCCACAGCCAUAUGAAACCAAAAGUGAAAAGUUACGUUUCUGCUGUAAGUCUCUAGAAGAGGAAUGCAGUGAUUGGAGAUGUUUAUGGUAUAGUCAGAGGAAACAUCAGGGUUUCAGGGUUUGGCAAUUAGUACACUGUGAAUGGAUACAUUUAUUUGUCAGUUAGAGGAUUUAUUUUUAUUUUUCCACAACAUUUUUGACAUUUUAAGACCAUGUUUGGUCCACCUGACAGCUGUAUUGUGCCUAUCUACAUUUUUUUACACAAUUAUCUAGUUUUGUUUAUUUUUCCAUGAGCAACAGUUACUGUGAGAAACACUGACAUACCAUAAUGACUGUGAUGUUUUAUAUCUUGUUUUAAAGUAAUUUUGCGCACAUGGAAACCAGA